AGAGUUUGAUCCUGGCUCAGAUUGAACGCUGGCGGCAGGCCUAACACAUGCAAGUCGAGCGGCAGCGGGAAAGUAGCUUGCUACUUUUGCCGGCGAGCGGCGGACGGGUGAGUAAUGCCUGGGGAUCUGCCCAGUCGAGGGGGAUAACUACUGGAAACGGUAGCUAAUACCGCAUACGCCCUACGGGGGAAAGCAGGGGACCUUCGGGCCUUGCGCGAUUGGAUGAACCCAGGUGGGAUUAGCUAGUUGGUGAGGUAAUGGCUCACCAAGGCGACGAUCCCUAGCUGGUCUGAGAGGAUGAUCAGCCACACUGGAACUGAGACACGGUCCAGACUCCUAC
rnacentral:rRNA from 1 species